AGUUCCCCUUCAGGUGUCCUCAGUCAGGUGAGAACAUGAUGAGCUGCUUAAAGUCACAUGAGGAUCAUCACUCAAAGGAUUUGUUCAUGUUUCAGCUCUUAAAUCACAUUGUUCUUUAAUCAUGACGUCAGAUACUGAUUCUUACUCUACAGUUUGAUGCAUCUUGUUAUUUAUUCAUUAAGGUCCUUCUGCAACAAAGACCACUAACAAACCUCCAGUGACUGAGACACCUGAGAAGAAGACGACCACAAGUCCACCUGAAGACAAGGAACCAGUGGAUCCAGGUGAUGAUGCAACAAAGACGACCAAAAAGGAAGAAGGUCCUUCUGUAACAAAGACGACUACCAAACCUCCAGUGACUAAGACACCUGAGACGAAGACGACCACAAGUUCACCUGGAAACGAGGACCCAGGGAACUCAGGUGGUAAUAAUCACAAAGUGUUGAGGACCUUCGUUGUGUGUUUGGGUUUAGCAGCACUUUUAAUAAGUCUUGUUACAGUCAACAUUUGGACAAGAACUAAAGGGAAAGAAACCCGGAUGGAAGAAAUCAUGCAGCUGGAUGAGGUGGUUGAAGAAGACGACUCGGUGAACUAUGAAAACGAUGGAGAGCCUUCUGCCUCCGUCUCACUGGACUGAUGGACGACGUGAAGCCACCACAGAGUCCCCUGAUGUCACCCACCAUGACGCCGUUGUCCACGACAACAGACGCUUUAAGAGGCUUUAAGA